CAAAUCUUCAGGAAUUUUUUCUGUAAAAUAUCCAGAUAAGCUAAGUAACUGCUGGCAACACCUCCCCAACCCAGGAUCCCAUACGACAAUCUAGACUCGACCAAUGCAUGGUACAGGAUUUUCAUUUGGUGAUUGAAAUCGGGGAGAUGAGAUGAGUAACAAGAAAAAGGUUUUUCCAGGAUGUGUCUUCAUAGAAUAUUGCCGUGUCAUCCGCAAAACUAAUGAUUUCUCCGUUGGUCUGUGAGGUGAAAGAAAUAUUGAUGAUUGUGUCCAAACUCCUCUCAGUGGUGGAAUUGCAGGUGAAAAAAAUAUUGAUGAUUGUGUCCAAACUCCUCUCAGUGGUGGAAUUGCAGGUGCUUUAAUUUUAUCAGCAAAUUUCUUCCCUAGCAAUGUUUAAUGUUCAUUGAAUAAGUUAGCUAUUUCAAUUCUAUCAGUGAUUGUUCUAUUUUCGUAUUGUACCCGGUUUACAGUAUUUUGUUUUUUGGCAGCUGAUAAUUCCUUCACAGUAUUCCAAAUAAUUUUACUAUCAUCUUUACUAAGGUCAAUUUGUUUUUUAUCAACGUAUUAACUGUAUUUCGGUAUCUCAAAUAUUCGUUUUUUAGGAUGUAUCAUUUUUGUUCAUUUUGUACUGUUGUUCGUUAUGUUUCAUUUUAAAUGAUUCAGAGCAGUUUUGAGUUGUAUUUUUUAAAAGUGAUAAGAUAUAAUCUGUCCAUGCCUCGACAUCCUGUAAUGAAUAAAACAGGGUCCAAUCAUAAUUUUUCAACUCAUUUCUCAAUUUAUCAUAUUGGACAAUAGUCUUUGUAUUAAUUGAAUUUGUUUGGGUGCUCAUAUGUUUCAGUGGCAACUCUAUCAGUGUAGAAGAGUGGUCUGUCACAUCUAUUUCCAGCACCGCAGACGACACAGCAAUCUCGUUUUUUGAGUUUUUAUAAAAUAUAUGGUCCAAGCAUGUGUUACUCUGUAAUCUUGUAGGGCAAUUUAUUAAUGAAUGAAAAUUUGAUUCGUACAUUGUAUUCAGAUAGUCGAAAACAAUUUCAUCCUCAUCCAAUAUGUUCAAAUUUAAAUCACCUGCAAUGAUAUGAUGGUUCGCAUUAUAUUUUUGAGCUGUUUUCAAAUAUUCCCUCAGACCCAUAACAAAUGGCCUCGAAUCAGAGUUAGGAGACCUGUAUACAGCAGUUAUACACAUAUAAUCAUUAUCUACUUUGAAUUUUACCUCUAUUGCUUUGCAUUUAUCACGAACUAUUUCAAAGUUACAUUACGAUGUAACUUUGAAAUAGUUCGUAUAGAUAAUCGACUAGCCUAGGGGCUAGUCGAUGUGUACAUCAAUACACCAUCACAUUUGUUUACAUCUCCUUCAUUGUAUGUC